GGUUAAAAUAAAUAAGCCAAGGCAGGUAAAGGCCUCUGAGUUGAAAAUAUUCCAGUAGCUUUGGCUGGUGGUCCAGUUGCACUUCUGUCUUGACAGGGAUAGCCUAACUUCUGUUGUCUAAACUCUGGCAAUCUCUAGGUUAGAUUACUGCAACACAUUAUACAUGGGGCUGGUGCAGAAUUUGGCAGCCAAGUUGCUCCCCAGGGCAAGAUGGUUUGAGCAUAUAACAGUUAUCCCUGCAUGUUUUGGGUACUGUAGCCUGGGUAACUCCACCCACAUUAAGAUUUGGCAGCAAAUGAUUCAGACGCUGGUUGCCUAUCCAUAGGUUAAGCAUUUGUUGCAGCUCCCCUAGAUAUCAGUUAACAUUCCUGUAUGAAAUUCCUAUGCUGUUGCAGAAAGAAAGCUCAGUGUGCCAGCAAAUGAGUCUGACUCCAUGCUCUCUUAUUCUCUCACUUAAUAGCUUGAGAAACAAAAACAAAAUUGAAACCCCUCUGGGCAUAUAGAGGCAGAAUGAGCAAAAGGAAGGGGGGUGUUCUUGCAUGCUAGCAAACCUACUGUUUGCGAACCACAAUGAGGUCUUUCAGCUGUAUGUGUUUAACAUCAAUGAAGGGAUUCCACAUAUGGAAGGAGGGAAGUUUAUAGAUUCCUCCUUGCAGAUCCUUGUGGCCCUAUUUCGUAAGACUGAUGGAGCCCUCAGAACAGUGUGGAAAGUGAUAUUGGAGGCGACAGAGACAACUAGCAAAAAUCCCUUCCUCAUGCUUCCAUGAGUGGGAGCCUCUGUUGAAUUGUAGCCCGCACCAUCAAUAACCUGCACUUGCUGAAGAGGCAGCACUAGAUAAAAAUGCUUAAGGCCUGAAAAGCAGAUACAGAUAACCCUUAAUGCAUGUUGGGGAGAUGUUGGUGUGAUAAAAAGUUUGGUUCAAACAUAGGACAAGUCUAUACAGGAGGUUGGGCCACUUCUUUCAGGUGAAGCAUCAGCUCUAGCUGCUUAUUUGCCUUUUACCUUCUGCAUUCCUUCAUACAUACCUUAGGUCAGUGUUUCUCAACCUUGGGCUGUCAGCUGUUUUUAGGACUAAACUCCCAGCAUCCCUGAUCACUGGCCCUGCUAGCUAUGGAUGAUGGGAGUUGUAGUCCAAAAACAGCUGGAGGCCCAAGGUUGAGAAACGCUGCCUUAGGUGAUGCUGGGUGACCUGUGCUGGAACUGUACCUGUGGUGGGAGGGUUUACCUAUGUGCCAUUCUCCUGAAUUAUGUCCCUUUUAAAAACAAUAGAAGCAUGAAUUGAACAUUCCCACGCAGCAGAAACAACCUGAUGACUAGUACACCAGAGAUCUGGCAGCUCCAUGAGCAGCUGACAGUCUGUUAUGCCAGCACUCCGGUAAGACUGACGACAGGAGAAGUCAGGUUGAUGGCACAGUACUGGAAGUAUGGAGAGGAAACUAUAGCUUCACUGCCCAUUCCAGAUCAAAUGCCACUUACUAAAAAUCUAUCUUGAUAAUAAACAGAAAACAUGCUAUGAAGGGAGAGUGGAAACAUGACGGCCAGUGGCAAUGAGUUUUUAUUUGUGGAUUUGUAUUUAUGUCAUGAUCAGCAUUUGUUCUGAAAGAAGAGAGAUUUCUGAGACAAAGCAAUUGUGAUAACAGUAUUCAGUUAUGCAACUUUUAAAUUAGGACUGGAGACUAAACAACAAUAUUGCUGAAAAGUGUGGCAAUAAAAAGGAUCCAUUUCCCCGAAUAUAAUCUAACUACAAUGUCCCUGCUUCACUUUACACAUAGUCUCCAUUACAGCCUUUAUUGCCCACUUUGUUCUCUUUCAUGAAGUGUUAGGUAUUAUCAGAUUUCCCAUCAAACUCUGCAGGUACUUCAUUCAAUACAUUUUUGACAUCAUUCUUGAAAUAUAUGCAAUUAUGCACUAAGCUAGAUUUCAUUAUGCCUUCGGUUAGGUUUUUAAUUUUACAGUCUCUGCUUCAUAAUCUCUGCUACUUUGUUGCUAUGCUUGCCCAGAAAACAUGUCUCUAUGGCCACCUGGAAACUACUUUUCAGUGUUCAGGGACUAAGUCUGUCUGGAACACAAAUGACUGCAGGAAAUUUAAUUCAAGGCUGCUAGAGAAACUAUCUCCUACUUUUCUGCAGGAGGACAGUCCCCACCAAUUAUGCAGUAGCGCUAACCCAGAACAUAGCACAUUUAAUGAAGUACAUAGGAGCACAGGAUGCUCCUUUGGGUGGAGGUCUGGAUAUCAGAGUGCCAAAGUAAGGUAUGGGGUGGAGAUGGGGAGACAGAGAAGAGACCAGAGCUUUGGAAGAAAGGAAGCUUUAUGGGGAAAGUGUUUUUAAAAAUUGGAAAAUUAACAGUUAACUAUGAAGGCUGUUUAGAGAAGGAAGGAAGAGAAGUGAAAAGUUUUGUGACUGUCCUUCAUGGACUUUGUGCAGGAAUUGCUUUCGCUUGGGAAGGCAGAGAAAGGCAGGGAAAUGACAGUGUGAAUUAGAAAGCCAAUGCUGUGGCUGAACAAGCAUCAGAACGAAUAAAAUAAAAAAACAAGAGUUUAGUUUCCUCAGCCAGGACCAGAAUUCACCAACUGGCAACAGCUCAAAGGGGCACUAAAGAUCGAAUUCUAGAGUGAGUUGGGAUAUGUUUAAUUCACACCAAGACUCUGCUUUGCAACUACCUGGAAUGCAGAAGUAUAGAUGUGCAAGAAUGGGCAUGUGACUAGGAGCUCCAGAAAUGUAGUUAUCAAAGCCAAUGGAAGACACACUUGAAGGACUAUGAGGAAAUGCACGUAGGGCACAGGAGACUUGCUGAGCUCAAAGGUUGUGAGGCCAGUUAUAACCCUUGAUUACAAAGCAGGAUGUUUCUGGAGUGGCAGUUUCCAGGUGCACAAAAAGAGACGACUGUCUUCUAUCUGCUUUAACAAGAGAGAGAGGGUCUUGGCUCUACGUGGCGUUCAAGCACCAAUUAUAGAGCACAGUAGAAAUCUCGGGCCUCUCCAUUCCCAACUGAAGAAUGAUAGCUUUGCUUGGGUUGGAGUAGGUCUCAGAGAAAGGUUGGGUGCUAACAAGGUUGUACUGUAGUGUACAAAGGUUGUAGACAUUCCACUGCCCAUUUCAGCAGAGAAUUUCCAUGGGAAUUUCAAGUGCACCUUUCCCUUGUUUGCUAGAACCUUACCAGCUGACUCAAAUGAAAUAUAGCCUUUUUUGAGCCAAGGUGGUUGUGAAGGGACACAUGAAAUGGAGGCAGAAUAGGGGUCACCAGUAACAGCUUUCUUAUUUUGCCACUUUUCCAACUGACUAAGAACAAGAAUAGAGUUGCUAUUUUUCUUAUUACAUUUUUUUGUACUUCUACUUGGAUUUCUACACUGGUGGCCUGAUUUCCUCAGUUAUGUAUCUCAGAACACUUAACAUGUGAAUAACAAGAUUUUCCAUGAGAACAAUCCGAUACCAAUGAAGUGGAUUUCGUAAUUUACCUGAGUUACAUACUCUGGGCCAAUGUCCUUGACAGAUGAAAAUUAAUUGAGUCUGGAAAGUGCUGCUAUGCACCAAUUAAAUCUUUGACAUAGGAUAUGAACACAUUUUAAACAGUUGUAUAUGGUAGGUAAGGUCUGGAAAGGUUAAACAGUUGAGUAUUAUGAAAUGUGGUUCUGCGUCACCUCUAAUCUUUCAACAGUACGUAUUGAGCUUCAUUUUUUGCCUUCCAAGUGUUUGAAAAAACUGAAACCAGUCGACCUGUUGCCUUAUUACCAUAGCUGACAAUGUCUCCACAGUAGCUCUCACAUCUUCCAGGAAUGUGUUCAGGCUUCUGCCUACCUGACUGCUCCAAAGAGCAUGUUUAUAUAUCACCAGGUGGCACAAGCCCCUUUAAAGCAUUACUGCUACAUUUUUAACUACGGUGUCAGAGAGCAACCACAUUGUACAAAGCCUGUAAUGCAUUUCUAGACCAACAUGGGAUCAAGUGCAUAUGCAUUUGCAGCUUUGUUUGAUAAGAGAAUGUGUUCAGCCCCUUCCCUGUUGAAGAUUUUUCAUAUUUAAUUAUUGUAACCUGCCCUGGAACCUGCUGGUGAUGGGAUAGGCAAGUAAUAAAUUGUUAUUUUUCA